rnacentral:misc_RNA from 1 species
AAGUCGUAACAAGGUUUCCGUAGGUGAACCUGCGGAAGGAUCAUCAAAAAAUUUAUAUAUAUAUAUAUAUAAAAUUUGCACACGAAAUAUAUAUUAUAUAUAUAUAUCUUAUCUCAAGGACAAUUAAAUUGUCUUUUUGAUAACUGUUUUAUAUUUUUCCCUCUGAUUUUUUUUUUUAAAAAAAAUGAGGGAAAAAUUUAAAAAUUUAAAAAAAAACUUUAUAUAUAUCAUUGUCUGAAAUAUAUAUAUAUUAUAUAUAUAAGAGAGAAACAACUUUUAGCAAUGGAUCUCUCGGCUCUU